UACGGAGGGGGCUAGCGUUGUUCGGAAUUACUGGGCGUAAAGCGCACGUAGGCGGACUGUUAAGUCGGGGGUGAAAUCCUGGGGCUCAACCUCAGAAUUGCCUCCGAUACUGGCAGUCUCGAGUGCGGGAGAGGUGAGUGGAAUUCCCAGUGUAGAGGUGAAAUUCGGUAAGAUAUUGGGAAGAACACCAGUGGCGAAGGCGGCUGCACUGGACUGGUAUUGACGCUGAGGUGACGGAAAGCAUGGGGAG
rnacentral:rRNA from 1 species